rnacentral:tRNA from 1 species
CAAGGAGUAGUUUAAAGAAAAUUUUAAUUUUGGAGAUUAAAGAAAGGGGGUAUCCUCUCUCCUUGA